GUGCUUGCUUUUGGAGCACAUAUGCUAAAAUUGGAAUGAUACAGAGCAUGACCCCUAUGCAGGGAAGACAUGGAAAUUCAUGAAGCAUUCCAUAUCUUA
ensembl:snRNA U6 U6 spliceosomal RNA